rnacentral:lncRNA from 1 species
AGAAACCAAGGGAACCUCUUCUAAUAACCUGUGGCUCUCCAACUUCUCUACUUUAGGAACCUGUUCACCUGGAAUUUAGGAGUCACAGAUCUGUGGGUAUAGACAGUGUGAGAUCAUCCUCAAGUUACCUGCUGUGCUCUCCAAAGGACACAGACUGAGACCCAUGUGCGUCACCGCUCUUUAAGAUGAACAGGCAGAAAGGGCCAUGUCCCUUUGGACCUCUAGAGUCCAGACUGUCAUCUUCUUGCAAGCCUCUUCACCUCCGCAGGACCAGCUUUGCUUGUCAAGACACAAGACCAAUCCUACCUUCAUGGAACAGCGAUGAAGCUGCCUUGUAAACUCCAAGGAUCUCUCACCAAAGCUGAAGCACAUUAUGUCAUCUAUAAUGGUUUUCCAAUAAGCUUCAGGGAUCCUCCCGUUUCUACACCCCUCCCCCCAUAACAAAGAAAUCUCACAUCAGUGGUGGCGAUCCAAACUCAUGACCUCAUGCUUGCACAGUGGCUACUUCAUCACCUGGGCCAUCCCCCCAGUCCUUGCAUUCUCACAUAUCAAAACAUGCAACAUCUUAAAGUUGCUCAGAGAGUAAUGCCUCUUACCUGACGGCCUGAAGUCAAAAGAAGAUGUGUCUUGCCAGUGAAAAGGAUGGACCCAUGGGAGGCAGCAGAGGAGGCAGAAAAGCGCCUGCAGUUUGAGUGGUACCAUCUUAGGAGCUGAGCAGUGGCUUCAGUUUGAUGUUCUUCAGAGCAGAUAAUUAAAAGAAAAGAAAUACAAUGAAUGUACUGAAGUGCCCAGUAAUGUUAACAGUGAAACAUGUAUUGCUUAUUCAGAGAAAGCUGGCAAAAUCCUUGAUGCUAAUGGGUGGCAGAACAUGGGAAUAACAUUUCAAGACAGCUAAAUAUGAUUUUCUCUAUUUUUACAAGAGUCUUUUGGUUAUAAGAAAAACAUGGAGUCAUGAUAGUG